rnacentral:rRNA from 1 species
GAUGAACGCUGGCGGCGUGCUUAACACAUGCCAGUCGAACGAUGAAGCCCAGCUUGCUGGGUGGAUUAGUGGCGAACGGGUGAGUAACACGUGAGUAACCUGCCCUUAACUCUGGGAUAAGCCUGGGAAACUGGGUCUAAUACCGGAUAGGAGCGCCUACCGCAUGGUGGGUGUUGGAAAGAUUUAUCGGUUUUGGAUGGACUCGCGGCCUAUCAGCUUGUUGGUGAGGUAAUGGCUCACCAAGGCGACGACGGGUAGCCGGCCUGAGAGGGUGACCGGCCAAACUGGGACUGAGACACGGCCCAGACUCCUACGGGAGGCAGCAGUGGGGAAUAUUGCACAAUGGGCGAAAGCCUGAUGCAGCGACGCCGCGUGAGGGAUGACGGCCUUCGGGUUGUAAACCUCUUUCAGUAGGGAAGAAGCGAAAGUGACGGUACCUGCAGAAGAAGCACCGGCUAACUACGUG